rnacentral:rRNA from 1 species
UGGGGAAUCUUGCGCAAGGGGCGAAAGCCUGACCCAGCAACGCCGCGUGAAGGAUGAAGUAUUUCGGUAUGUAAACUUCGAAAGAAUAGGAAGAAUAAAUGACGGUACUAUUUAUAAGGUCCGGCUAACUACGUGCCAGCAGCCGCGGUAAUACGUAGGGACCAAGCGUUGUUCGGAUUUACUGGGCGUAAAGGGCGCGUAGGCGGCAUGACAAGUCACUUGUGAAAUCUCUGGGCUUAACCCAGAACGGCCAAGUGAUACUGUCGCGCUAGAGUGCAGAAGGGGCAAUCGGAAUUCUUGGUGUAGCGGUGAAAUGCGUAGAUAUCAAGAGGAACACCUGAGGUGAAGACGGGUUGCUGGGCUGACACUGACGCUGAGGCGCGAAAGCCAGGGGAGCAAACGGGAUUAGAUACCCUAGUAGUCCCUGAGCGGGCUGGCAAGGCGCAU